GACGAACGCUGGCGGCGUGCUUAAUACAUGCAAGUCGACUGAACUUAAGGUAGCAAUAUUUUAAGGGAGGUGGCGCACGGGUGAGUAACACGUAGGUAAUCUGCCUUUAGGACUGACAUAACUCCGCGAAAGCGGAGCUAAUUUCAGAUGAUGCAGCGGCUCGACAUCGAGACAGUUGUUAAACCUUCGGGGCCUAAAGAUGAGCCUGCGUCUGAUUAGGUAGUUGGCGGAGUAAAAGCCCACCAAGCCUGCGAUCAGUAGCUGGUCUGAGAGGAUGAUCAGCCACACUGGAACUGAGACACGGUCCAGACUCCUACGGGAGGCAGCAGUAAGGAAUAUUGCUCAAUGGCCGAAAGGCUGAAGCAGCAACGCCGCGUGGAGGAUGAAAUACUUUUGUAUGUAAACUCCUGUAAGAAGGGAAAAAUAUUCCGAUUUAUCGGGAUUGAUUGUACCUUCAGAGUAAGCCCCGGCUAACUACGUGCCAGC
rnacentral:rRNA from 1 species